UACGUAGGUGGCGAGCGUUGUCCGGAAUUAUUGGGCGUAAAGAGCAUGUAGGCGGUCUUUUAAGUCUGGAGUGAAAAUGCGGGGCUCAACCCCGUAUGGCUCUGGAUACUGGAAGACUUGAGUGCAGGAGAGGAAAGGGGAAUUCCCAGUGUAGCGGUGAAAUGCGUAGAUAUUGGGAGGAACACCAGUGGCGAAGGCGCCUUUCUGGACUGUGUCUGACGCUGAGAUGCGAAAGCCAGGGUAGCGAACGGG
rnacentral:rRNA from 1 species